UACAGCUAUAUCACCUUGAAACCCUGGUUCCCAUAUGAUCACUGAAGUUGAGCAACAUCAAGCAUGGUCAGUACUUAGAUGGGUGACCACCACUUAGGAUGCCAAGUGCUGUAA